rnacentral:rRNA from 1 species
GAUGAACGCUGGCGGCGUGCCUAAUACAUGCAAGUCGAGCGAACGGACGAGAAGCUUGCUUUUCUGAUGUUAGCGGCGGACGGGUGAGUAACACGUGGAUAACCUACCUAUAAGACUGGGAUAACUUCGGGAAACCGAAGCUAAUACCGGAUAAUAUUUUGAACCGCAUGGUUCAAAAGUGAAAGACGGUCUUGCUGUCACUUAUAGAUGGAUCCGCGCUGCAUUAGCUAGUUGGUAAGGUAACGGCUUACCAAGGCAACGAUGCGUAGCCGACCUGAGAGGGUGAUCGGCCACACUGGAACUGAGACACGGUCCAGACUCCUACGGGAGGCAGCAGUAGGGAAUCUUCCGCAAAGGGCGAAAGCCUGACGGAGCAACGCCGCGUGAGUGAUGAAGGUCUUCGGAUCGUAAAACUCUGUUAUUAGGGAAGAACAUAUGUGUAAGUAACUGUGCACGUCUUGACGGUACCUAAUCAGAAAGCCACGGCUAACUACGUG